UACGGGGGGGCAAGGCGUUGUUCGGAAUUACUGGGCGUAAAGGGUUCGUAGGUGGCGUACUAAGUCAGACGUGAAAUCCCUCAGCUUAAACUGGGGAACUGCGUCUCGAUACUGGUAGGCUUUGAAGUGCAGGAGAGGACGCGGAAUUCCAGGUGUAGCGGUGAAAUGCGUAGAGUAUACUGGAGGAACACCGGUGGCGAAGGCGGCAUCCUGGACCGGGCAUUGACGCU
rnacentral:rRNA from 1 species